GGAGGGAUACCGUAAUUGGUAACGGACCGGUCUUGAAAACCGGCGCCCUUUGGGCUUGUGGGUUCGAGUCCCACUCCCUCCGCCA
rnacentral:tRNA from 1 species